rnacentral:misc_RNA from 1 species
AAGUCGUAACAAGGUUUCCGUAGGUGAACCUGCGGAAGGAUCAUUAACACGUAUCCAAACGUUAAACCCCCCCCGUGAACCUUCAUCGUGCUCUAGUGGGCCACUGAUAAACACAGCAAUUCCUGGUAAAUCAUUGUCUGAACAAGCCUUUGAGUCAGGAACCUCUGUGCAGUGCGAGCUACACCCACUAUAGAAGCGCUAGUUCCAUCGGCAUUGUUUCCCCAAGCAGCCAGUGCGUGAAAGUGGCAACUGACUGUGCAAGGAUAACGCUUAACGAUUUUGCAGCCGCAACACGCGGGCAGAGCUUUGCCAAAGGGUCCCCAUGCCCCCUAAUAACCCCACAGUUUAAUGUGUAGCUCAAUGUACUGCAUUGGGUAAAAAAACCGAACAACUGUUAACAAUGGAUAUCUUGGUUCUC